rnacentral:rRNA from 1 species
UUUUAUUUGAGAGUUUGAUCCUGGCUCAGGAUGAACGCUGGCGGCGUGCCUAACACAUGCAAGUUGAGCGAUUUACUUCGGUAAAGAGCGGCGGACGGGUGAGUAACGCGUGGGUAACCUACCCUGUACACACGGAUAACAUACCGAAAGGUAUGCUAAUACGGGAUAAUAUAUUUGAGAGGCAUCUCUUGAAUAUCAAAGGUGAGCCAGUACAGGAUGGACCCGCGUCUGAUUAGCUAGUUGGUAAGGUAACGGCUUACCAAGGCGACGAUCAGUAGCCGACCUGAGAGGGUGAUCGGCCACAUUGGAACUGAGACACGGUCCAAACUCCUACGGGAGGCAGCAGUGGGGAAUAUUGCACAAUGGGCGAAAGCCUGAUGCAGCAACGCCGCGUGAGUGAUGAAGGCCUUCGGGUCGUAAAACUCUGUCCUCAAGGAAGAUAAUGACGGUACUUGAGGAGGAAGCCCCGGCUAACUACGUGCCAGCAGCCGCGGUAAUACGUAGGGGGCUAGCGUUAUCCGGAUUUACUGGGCGUAAAGGGUGCGUAGGCGGUCUUUCAAGUCAGGAGUGAAAGGCUACGGCUCAACCGUAGUAAGCUCUUGAAACUGGGAGACUUGAGUGCAGGAGAGGAGAGUGGAAUUCCUAG